UACGGAGGGUGCAAGCGUUGUCCGGAUUUAUUGGGUUUAAAGGGUGCGUAGGCGGCCGAUUAAGUCAGCGGUGAAAGUUUUGGGCUCAACCCAGAAAUUGCCAUUGAUACUGGUCGGCUUGAGUAUUGCAGGGGUACAUGGAAUUGAUGGUGUAGCGGUGAAAUGCAUAGAUACCAUCAGGAACACCGAUAGCGAAGGCA
rnacentral:rRNA from 1 species